AUUGAACGCUGGCGGCAUGCUUUACACAUGCAAGUCGAACGGGGUGAGGGGGCAACCUCUCAUCUAGUGGCGAACGGGUGAGUAAUGCAUCGGAACGUGUCCCGUAGUGGGGGAUAACCCGGCGAAAGCCGGACUAAUACCGCAUAUGCUCUACGGAGGAAAGUGGGGGAUCCGCAAGGACCUCACGCUAUGGGAGCGGCCGAUGUCCGAUUAGCUUGUUGGUGGGGUAAUGGCCACCAAGGCGACGAUCGGUAGCUGGUCUGAGAGGAUGAUCAGCCACACUGGGACUGAGACACGGCCCAGACUCCUACGGGAGGCAGCAGUGGGGAAUUUUGGACAAUGGGGGCAACCCUGAUCCAGCCAUGCCGCGUGCGGGAAGAAGGCCUCGG
rnacentral:rRNA from 1 species